rnacentral:rRNA from 1 species
CGGAGGCUACCGCUAUUGGAGUUCGAUUAAGCCAUGCGAGUCUAGAGGCCUAGCCUCGGCGUACCGCUCAGUAACACGUGGGUAACCUACCCUAUGCUGGGGGAUAAGCUCGGGAAACUGAGAAUAAUACCCCAUAGUCCACUACGCCUGGAACGGUGAGUGGAUCAAAGCUCCGGCGGCAUAGGAUGGGCCUGCGGCGUAUCAGGUUGUAGGGGGUGUAACGUACCCUCUAGCCAUCCACGCGUACGGGUGUUGGGAGACAUUGCCCGGAGAUGGAUUCUGAGACACGAAUCCAGACCCUACGGGGUGCAGCAGGCGCGAAAACUUGGCAAUGCGAGAAAUCGUGACCAGGGAACUCCAAGUGGCAGGGGUAAGACCCUGUCUUUUUCCGACUCUAAAUAGGUCGGCGAAUAAGGGGUGGGUAAGGACGGUGCCAGCCGCCGCGGUAAUACCGGCGCCUCAAGUGGUAGUCGCUUUUAUUGGGCCUAAAACGUCCGUAGCCGGUCUGGUACAUUCGUGGGUAAAUCAACUCGCUUAACGAGUUGAAUUCUGCGAGGACGGCCAGACUUGGGACCGGGAGAGGUGUGGGGUACUCUCAGGGUAGGGGUAAAAUCCUGUCAUCCUGAGAGGACCACCUGUUGCGAAGGCUCCACACUAGAACGGAUCCGACGGUCAGGGACGAAGCCUAGGGGCACGAACCGGAUUAGAUACCCGGGUAGUCCUAGGUGUAAACGCUGUGGACUUGAUGUUGGGGACGCUCCGAGCGUUCUCAGUGUCGAAGCGAAGGUGAUAAGUCCACUGCCUGGGGAGUACGGUCGCAAGGCUGAAACUUAAAGGAAUUGGCGGGG